CUUCAUCAUCGCCGUGCCAUCUCGUUCUAGCACGAGAGAUCCAAUAUGCAUCACUUCUUCCUCUUCCUCUUCCUCCUCGUUUUCUUGCUUCCCCAUGAAACCAGCUACUCCACGGCCAUAGCUUCCGGCGGCGGCGACUUGUGCAGCCGGCGGUGCGGCGGUACCACCGUCCCAUAUCCUUUCGGAUUCUCCCCCGGCUGCCCCAUCGUCCUGUCGUGCGACGCCAGCAUCUCCACGCCGAUCCUCCCAUACAUAGGAGACAACGGCAUCAUGUACCGCGUCAUAGCCUUCAACUCAACCACCUCCACCGUUGUCGUCGGCCUUCCGCCGUCGUGCAGCCGCAGCGUCCCCGAGGCCAGGAGGGUGCUCUCCGGGGGCAACUACGGCGUGUCGUCUCGCACCGGUCUUUUCCUCCGCGGCGGCUGCAGCGGGAUCAACGCGUCGGCGGCCGCCGGAUGCAGCGUGCCCAUGGGCGUCAUGUCCAGGCUGCUCCGCACGGCGCAGUGCGUCGGCCUCGGCAACGACACCUCGCCCGCCGCUGUGGCGUGCGUCGCUUCCCGUCCGGCAAACUCCACCGCGGCGGUGCAUGACCAGUUUCUUCUGUGGGAGAAGGUCGAGAAGCAAAAGUGCGACGACGUGUUAACCUCCACGGUGUUGGUGCUCACGGUGGAGGGGACGGCUACGCUGGAGUUCGGCGAGGCCGAGCUCGGCUGGUGGCUCAACGGGACGUGCGCCGACGGCGUGGAGCGUUGCGCGGCGAACGCGACGUGCACCGACGUACAAACGCCUGGCGGGGAGUUGGGGCACCGGUGCGAGUGCGCGGCGGGGAUGGAGGGCGACGGCUUCUCGGCCGGCGACGGAUGCUACCUCGAUCCAACAUGGGCAAAGGCGAUCGUCGGGGCCGUGUUGGUAACAUGGGCUUUGGUCGUGCUCAUACUUGCUCUUUGCAUAAUUUCUUGUGUCUGCCUCUGCCUCUGCUGUCACCGUCGAAGGCGCAGUAACAUGAAGAAAACCAAACAAUCGUUGAAAGCGUUGACAACACUAUUUCGCGGCGAACUUGUCGAUGGCGAGCUCGACCAAGGACUCUCUGGGCCCCGACGAUUUUCUUUCGAGGAGCUCGCUGCAGCGACGGAUAAUUUCUCCAAUGACAGGGCGCUCGGGAGAGGAGGCUUUGGGUCUGUGUACCGAGGGUUUAUGAGCGACAUGAACCGCGAAGUGGCUGUCAAGAAGGUGUCAGAGACAUCUCGUCAGGGCUGGAAGGAGUUCCUCUCGGAGGUGCGGAUCAUUAGUCGGCUCAGGCACCGCAACCUCGUGCAGCUCAUCGGCUGGUGCCAUGGCGGCGAUGAGCUCCUCCUUGUCUACGAGCUGAUGCAUAAUGGCAGCCUCGACACUCAUUUGUACAGAUCCGACUACGUGCUGACAUGGCCUGUUAGGUACGAGAUAGUGCUCGGCAUAGGUUCCGCACUUAUGUACUUGCAUCAAGACACGGAGCAGCGUGUGGUGCACAGGGACAUCAAGCCAAGCAACAUCAUGCUAGAUGCCUCCUUCACCGCCAAGCUCGGCGACUUCGGGCUCGCGCGGCUCAUCAAUGAUGGCCAGAUAUCGUACAUGACUGACACAGCCGGCACGAUGGGGUACAUCGACCCGGAGAGCGUGCUGGCCGGCACAGCGAGCGUCGAGUCGGAUGUGUACAGCUUCGGGGUCCUCCUCCUCGAGGUCGCAUGUGGUCGGCGGCCAGCUCUAGUCCAGGAAGACGGUGGUGCCGUCCACCUGGUGUCAUGGGUGUGGGACUUGUACGGCGGAGGAUCAAUCCGUGCCGCCGCCGACCAGCGGCUUAGGGGGGAAUUUGAUGGUGCGGAGAUGGAGGGUGUUAUGGUCGUGGGGCUCUGGUGUGCGCAUCCUGACCGUGGCAUGCGGCCAUCCAUCAGGCAAGCGAUGAACGUGCUGCGGUUCGAAGCGCCAUUGCCGAGCCUCCCGGCAAAGAUGCCGGUGGCGACCUAUGGGCCGCCGACUAAUCCUUCGACUUCGGGAACUUUGGUGCUGAGCAGCAGCAUCAGUGGCCGGUGAAGGCGUUCCUACCAGUACACAUGGACCACCAACAAUGGACUUUCUAGUUACGGACUGAUGUGGCAUAUCAUUUUGUGUGUCCGGUCUAAUUGAAAAGCACUGGGCCUACAUCGCAAAUUCGCUGUGUGUUCGCUAGUUAAAUUCUCCAUUUCUCACCCAAAAAUAAAAACUUCUAGUAGUUAAAUUCUUCAGUUAUUUUUAGUGUCGUUGUACUGUCAUGAUUGAAAGUGAAUAUAUUGAAGGGGAAAGCUAUUUUCCUGCCGACUGUUAGUUAGCGCCAGGCACG
rnacentral:rRNA from 1 species